GAUGAACGCUGGCGGCGUGCCUAAUACAUGCAAGUCGAGCGAACAGAUAAGGAGCUUGCUCCUUUGACGUUAGCGGCGGACGGGUGAGUAACACGUGGGUAACCUACCUAUAAGACUGGGAUAACUUCGGGAAACCGGAGCUAAUACCGGAUAACAUUUGGAACCGCAUGGUUCUAAAGUGAAAGAUGGUUUUGCUAUCACUUAUAGAUGGACCCGCGCCGUAUUAGCUAGUUGGUAAGGUAACGGCUUACCAAGGCAACGAUACGUAGCCGACCUGAGAGGGUGGUCGGCCACACUGGAACUGAGACACGGUCCAGACUCCUACGGGAGGCAGCAGUAGGGAAUCUUCCGCAAUGGGCGAAAGCCUGACGGAGCAACGCCGCGUGAGUGAUGAAGGGUUUCGGCUCGUAAAACUCUGUUAUUAGGGAAGAACAAACGUGUAAGUAACUGUGCACGUCUUGACGGUACCUAAUCAGAAAGCCACGGCUAACUACGUG
rnacentral:rRNA from 1 species